AACAAACGCUGGCGGCGUGCCUAAUACAUGCAAGUCGAACGGGGAAAGCUUUCGGGUGAGUACUAGUGGCGCACGGGUGAGGAACGCGUGGAUAAUCUGCCUUAGAGUGGGGGAUAACUAGUCGAAAGAUUAGCUAAUACCGCAUAAGACCACAGGAGCUGCGGCUCAAGGGGUCAAAGGUUUUUCGCUCUAAGAUGAGUCCGCGUAAGAUUAGCUAGUUGGUGAGGUAACGGCUCACCAAGGCGACGAUCUUUAACUGGUCUGACAGGAUGCUCAGUCACACUGGAACUGCGACGCGGUCCAGACUCCUACGGGAGGAAGAAGUAGGGAAUAUUGCAAAAUGGAGGAAACUCUGAUGCAGCGACGCCGCGUGAGUGAUGAAGGCCUUCGGGUCGUAAAGCUCUGUCGCAGGGGAAUAACACAAUGAAUGUACCCUGUAAGAAAGGAUCGGCUAACUUCGUGCCAGCAGCCGCCGUAAAAC
rnacentral:rRNA from 1 species